UUCUUUGGAUCGUUCUUGCGGGGGCUGGUUUUGCUGCUCGAGCGAGAUCGAUUGGUUUUGGAUUUGGAUUGCUUGGCUUUGCUUCGAGUGAUCCACGCUUGAUAUCCUUUCAUGGUGGAAUGCAAAUCACUGAGGUACAGGCGUGGAUUACCGGCUCGUGCUUACUGAGAGAGAAAGGAUGGGAUUGCUUGCCUGAUCAUUGCGGUUUGUGGGCUUCUCAAGAUUGUGGUUUUUUUUCUUUCUUUUUUUUCCUUUCACUUUCGCUGCUGUUGAUGGUUCUGGUGAUGUUGUCUCGAGGGAAGACGCUCGCUCUCGCUGGCUGGCUGUUUUGCUGCCUGCGCUGCUUUCACUCACUCUCUCUUUCAAUGGGCUCGCCUUUGUUUGCUUGCUCCUUUUGCUUUUCUGAAUCUAUCUGUCUGCAUCCACCACUUGGUCCAUCCCUCGCUUUGGCAUUUUGCUUCCUUUGAUGUUUGCCUCUCCAACUGCAGGGCUGCUCGUUUCACUGAUCCCCACUCCAGCUUUCAUUCUCUCUUUUCAAUCGUCGCAUACUUCUCGUCCUCCUUCGCUUUCCAUGGCGUUGUUGAGAGAAAAGCCAGUGUAGUCGUUUCCAAAUCGUCCUUGUGCACCCUCCCUGCAAAUUCCCGUCCGUGACAGAAUCCCAAAGCUCGAUUCUUUCCGCCCGCAGUCAUUUCCUCUUCAUUUCGCUCAUUUACUGCAAUUCUUGGGGUUUGAAAGCACGCGUGCGUCGAGAAUUCGAUCCGAGCCGCGGAGGACUUGAGAAGCAACGUCAACAAUCGGCGCUGGGAGAGGUCUGUGUUUCUUUCCUGCGAUGAUCUUCCCUGCGCGAGUGACAUACACAUACGAUAGUUUUGAGAGGCCUCGAGGUUUUGAGCUAUGGUGUGUCGGGCUUUGGCUUGCAGGGGGAGCUCCCUUCAAUUCAACUGAGGUCGGUGCGUCGCUGUUACUCGCUGCUGACUCAUGCAUUCGCCUGACAUGCCCGCAACCAUCAUCAGAUCGUGAUCAGGACACGCCGAAAACAUGCCCGUGAUCACCUCCGCAACUCUCUGAUCUCGGCGAGGUUGAUCACAGAAUCCCCCGAGUUUGAGGCAUGGCAGCCGUGUGCAUGAUGCAGGAGCAGGUGCGGCUUCGGCUCUGAACUUCCCUUGGAUUGAAGGGAGCUCCCUUCCAGAUUCACAGCAUCGUUUUGCAACACUUCUUUGCUAUUUGUUUCCUUUUCUUGUUUCGUUUUUUUCUUUUCCUUGAGAAAAUAAACAGUUUUUGGUUCGUUUCAAGCUCGUUUGAAUUCCAGCCAUGUCAGUUGUGCAGCUUUGGGACACAGAUCCAAGUUGAAAAAGAAGGAAAAAUAAGUUUUAUUUUGCAUUGCUUGUUUCUCAUUCUUCCUAUUUUGUGGCCUAGACAAUGAAGGAAGAAUCUGUGCUGGAGGGGAGUCAUUCAAUUUGAGGGGCGAACUAUUCGGGCACAGGAUCUCUCCUACCAGAUUUCCCCUCCUGCUUGCUUUUGUUGUUUUGUUGGGGAGGAUUUAACCGCCCGCUCAACAGCUUAUACAUUUGACUUCACAGAGAGGAGCUCCUUUUCUUUCCUGUGAUCCUCGAUUUAAACAGUUUCUAGCAGAGAUUGUCGUUUCCUCCAUAAUCAAUUAGUACAAGCAAAGCAAACCCAAGCAAAGCUUGUUUAUCAUUUCUCAACAUUCCAGCAGUCAUAUAUAUAUAUAUAUAUUUCAAGCAA